rnacentral:rRNA from 1 species
AGCGAACGCUGGCGGCAGGCCUAACACAUGCAAGUCGAACGAAGUCUUCGGACUUAGUGGCGGACGGGUGAGUAACACGUGGGAACGUACCUUUUGGUUCGGAACAACUCAGGGAAACUUGAGCUAAUACCGAAUGUGCCCCUCGGGGGAAAGAUUUAUCGCCAUUAGAGCGGCCCGCGUUAGAUUAGCUAGUUGGUGGG